GGGGUUGUGGCUCAGAGGUAGAGUGCUUGCCUAGCAAGGGUGAGGCCCUGGGUUUGAUUCCCCAACACCA
rnacentral:tRNA from 1 species